rnacentral:rRNA from 1 species
GACGAACGCUGGCGGCGUGCCUAAUACAUGCAAGUCGAGCGGACAGAAGGGAGCUUGCUCCCGGAAGUUAGCGGCGGACGGGUGAGUAACACGUGGGCAACCUACCCUGUAGAUCGGGAUAACAUCGAGAAAUCGGUGCUAAUACCGGAUAAUCAUUUGAAGUGCAUGCUUCGAAUGUAAAAGAUGGCUCCGGCUAUCACUACGGGAUGGGCCCGCGGCGCAUUAGCUGGUUGGUAAGGUAAUGGCUUACCAAGGCAACGAUGCGUAGCCGACAUGAGAGGGUGAUCGGCCACACUGGGACUGAGACACGGCCCAGACUCCUACGGGAGGCAGCAGGAGGGAAUCUUCCGCAAUGGACGAAAGUCUGACGGAGCAACGACGCGUGAGUGAUGAAGGUUUUCGGACCGUAAAGCUCUGUUGUUAGGGAAGAACAAGUGCCGUUUGAAUAAGGCGGCACCUUGACUGUACCUAACCAGAAAGCCACGGCUAACUACGUGCCAGCCGCCGCGGUAACAC